rnacentral:rRNA from 1 species
CUUUUUCUUCGAUUAGAACUCUUAGAAAAAAUUACGCUGUUAUCCCUAAGGUAAUUUUUCUUUUAAUCUUAAAAAAAGGAUCAUUUUAAUCAUUUAUUUAUGAAACCAUACAAAAAAAAGUUAAUUAAAUUUUUCAAUCACCCCAAUUAAAUAUUUAUUUAAAUAAAGAAAAUUCUAUUAUUCCAUAUUUUAACUUUAAAAAUAAAUAUUAAACUCUAUAGGGUCUUCUCGUCUUUUAUAAAAAUUUAAGCUUUUUAACUUAAAAAUAAAAUUCAAAACUUUUAAAUUGAGACAGCUAUUUUUUCAUCAAACCUUUCAUUCCAGCUUUCAAUUAAAAAACUAAUGAUUAUGCUACCUUAGCACAGUCAAAAUACCGCGGCCGUUAAA